UCUCAUUAACAAACUAAAUAUCUGUAAGGUAGAAAAACAUAAAAGGAAACACAAAGUUACCCAAGGACUAGGCAAAAACCACUUGUUGGAUGGAUCAUCUACAUCCAAACAUAAGUGCUUAAAUAAAAUCCAAAACUGUGAAAACAAAGAGAAACCGGCGUACUUCUUUCAAUCAUUUAGAUUUCAUCUAAAUGGAAGUCAUGCCAAAUGGUGCUAUAUGUUAAUCCUAGUAGCGGCCAAUACCCCACACUCUAAUCAGACCAUCUGUGUAUCCACUGAAAAGUGUGCUCCCAUCAGCACUCCAACUCAAACUG
rnacentral:misc_RNA from 1 species